rnacentral:snoRNA from 1 species
AUGCAUCUCUGACAGACCUGGAGCAGUUAAUGGCUGCUGUUAAGGUUUCCACUGUGGAUGUAAGAAAUAGGUCCUCACACUGUUUGUCUGGUUGUGGCAGUCAAGAUUGAAUGGGAGAAUACAGGA